CGUGGGGUCACCACGUGGUCUCGCGCCGCCAUCACUGCUCACGGAGUCGCUGCCGCCAACUCCCCGCCCGUGUGGGCCCGUGCAGUUGCACCGCCUGCACACGCGGCAGGAGACGUGGCCGCUGGUGGUGUGCCGCGUGCUCGUAGUUUUAGUGGACUGUAUCGUCCUUGCCCGCACAGGAAAUCAAAGUGGAGCCUGGGACGCGUCACGCAGCCGCCCCUACCUGCUGCCGGUGUGCGGACACGCGUCUCGUGUGGAGCAUGCCUGCAGGACAAAGGCACGCGCACGCGCGGGCUGCGAGUUUGUGUGCCCGACCU